CCUUCCUCUAAUCAAAAUGGAACAUCACAGGGGUUUUAAUCUCUCUCUCUCUGAUGAUGAUAAAGGCCGAAUCAAUUGCUAGGGUUACCAGGAUCAUCUCAUCUCUUCUCUUUGGUUGUGUAUCUGAAAUCAAAGGUAUCUAUCGUCAUCUCAUGCUUCUCUUCUCUUCUUAGUUGUGUAUCUGAAAUCCCUAAUUCAUUCUCACUCCCAACCCAGUCCUGCCCUAGUCUCUUUCGUUUCUCUCUCUCUCUCUUUCAGCGGCUGCAACACCGUGUGUAGCGCCACCCUGUUUCAACCACAACAAUGGCUUCUCUCACCCCUGGCUACCUCUCCAAACUUCUCCAAAAUCUUAGCAACACUAUCACCGAAGGGUAUUGAUAAGAAAAUGGGUGCAAAAGGAGAGAUUAAGGGUUCGGAGAGUCUUCGAUCUUCAGAGCCACUGAUUAGCCCCCAAUCACAUUAUGGGUCGAAUACAAAACCUGAUUUGGGGGUUUUUGAGAAGGUCUCUGUAAAAAAAAAAAAAAAAAAAAAAAAAAAAAAAAUUUUAUGGGUGGGUUUGAUGAGUUUAAGAUCAUAGCGAGAUGGGUUAGAGAGAGAACGUCCUCCUUCGUUGCAGAAGUAGCAAUCUUUCGAGAGUCACACCAACAAUGGCUACAAUGGCUGCUCUUCAAAGCUCCUUCACUUCUUUUUCUCUCUCCUCAAAUUCUUUCUUGGACCAAUGCUUCUCGUCCCCCUCCCUGUCCAGAAAUUAGUCGUAUUGUCAGAACUUGAUGCACAAGUUUUGUUUGGAUAGGUGAGGGAAGCGAUUGGUGUUACCCUUUUUGUGUUGUGCUCAAAUAUUUGACUUCAUACAUCCUUCAAUGAUCAUCAUUCCGAUGGUGGUGACGAUUUCAAAAUUGAAGAGAGAAGUUGGGAUCAGUUUUUAACAGAACGUGCAUCUGAACUUGUCAUGAAUUUUCGGAAUGCUAGCCAGUCAGACAAAAUGGAGAUCUCAACAGAUACAAGUCCUGACAAUGGGAUAGUAAAUGGCGAUUCUAAAGAUGAUAUGAAGUGGAUGGAAACGAUACAUUUUAAAAGAAUUUUGUUUAAUCAAGGCUUCCUUAUCUUCAACUGAAUUCUGAUGAUCUUCUCAUUUUCCUUAAUAUGUGCAGCUGUUCCAUUUCAUUAUCUCAUCUUUGAAGUCUGGAAGAUCUUCAUAUCUGAUGGAUGUUAUUGUGGGUCUAUUUUAUCCUGCAAUUUCUUUGAAACAUCAAACAAAGAUCUGUCAACCCUCACCAAGGCAGCCUUUGAGUUGCCAAAGUGGAGGAUUUUAUGGGAACCCCAUCUCUAGUAUGUUACUUCUUUGGGAGUCUUCAUGCUCAAUGGAACCUUUUUUAUGGAUAGAAGACAAGAAAUGCAACAGACUUAGUUGCUCCAACUAUUGCCACGGGUUUAGGUGACACAUACAUUGGGUACCCUCGUCCCUGUGAUAGGAGCAAGUGGAUUUGCUACAGCUACAGCUGCAACUGCUAUGGGAACUGUUGUCGGUAGUUUUAGAUAAUCUUUUAAUAGUUGUCGAUAUUUUUAGAAAGUUAGAUAUGCAUAGUUUUGGACGGUUUAAACUUUUUGUACAGUUUAGAACUUAAGGAUAUAGUUUUCGAAUAUUUGGAAUGUAUAGACCAUUGUUGAAUGUUUAUAA